GUGAAUCAUCGAAUUUUUGAACGCAUAUUGCACUCUCUGGUAUUCCGGGGAGUAUGCCUAUUUGAGGAUCAUUUAAAAUAAUAUAGAUUUUUCUAGAUUUUCUUGGAAUCAAAGAUGGGACGGGCCGUCAUUCGUGUGGUUGUCGCCUAAAAUGCAAGACAAGCUCGUGUCUUGGAUUGCGUGAUACGUUCGGUUACCUCGUGACUUCACAAGGAAUCUUUGAGCGGGUUAGGAAUUGUGCACGAGGUAAACUUUCAUUUAUCUCGAGCUCAAUAUUAAAUUGAAUCAUGACCUCAAAUUA
rnacentral:misc_RNA from 1 species